AUUGAACGCUGGCGGCAGGCCUAACACAUGCAAGUCGAGCGAGCGGCGGACGGGUGCGUACUGUCUGGGAAACUGCCUGAUGGCGGGGGAUAACUACUGGAAACGGUAGCUAAUACCGCGUACCAUCCGAUGUGCCCAGAUGGGAUUAGCUAGUAGGUGGGGUAAUGGCUCACCUAGGCGACGAUCCCUAGCUGGUCUGAGAGGAUGACCAGCCACACUGGAACUGAGACACGGCCCAGACUCCUACGGGAGGCAGCAGUGGGGAAUAUUGCACAAUGGGCGCAAGCCUGAUGCAGCCAUGCCGCGUGUAUGAAGAAGGCCUUCGGGUUGUAAAGUACUUUCAGUCGGGAGGCGUUACCGACAGAAGAAGCACCGGCUAACUCCGUGCCAGCCGCCGCGGUAAUAC
rnacentral:rRNA from 1 species